rnacentral:rRNA from 1 species
AUUGAACGCUGGCGGCAUGCUUUACACAUGCAAGUCGAACGGUAACAGGCCGCAAGGUGCUGACGAGUGGCGAACGGGUGAGUAAUGCAUCGGAGCGUGCCCAGUCGUGGGGGAUAACGCAGCGAAAGCUGCGCUAAUACCGCAUACGAUCUAUGGAUGAAAGCGGGGGACCGUAAGGCCUCGCGCGAUUGGAGCGGCCGAUGUCAGAUUAGGUAGUUGGUGGGGUAAAGGCUCACCAAGCCAACGAUCUGUAGCUGGUCUGAGGGGACGACCAGCAACACUGGGACUGAGACAAGGCCCAGACGCCUACGGGAGGAAGCAGUGGGGAAUUUUGGACAAUGGGCGCAAGCCUGAUCCAGCAAUGCCGCGUGCAGGAAGAAGGCCUUCGGGUUGUAAACUGCUUUUGUACGGAACGAAACGGUCCUGGUUAAUACCUGGGGCUAAUGACGGUACCGUAAGAAUAAGCACCGGCUAACUACGUGCCAGCCGCCGCCGUAAAAC